CCGAGUUUACAACUCCCAAACCCAUGUGAACAUACCUAUCGUUGCUUCGGCGGAUCGCCCCGGGCGCCUUGCGUGCCCCGGAUCCAGGCGGCCGCCGGGGGACCUUAACUCUUGUUUUUACUGAGAAUCUUCUGAGUUCGUUUUUAACAAAUAAAUAA
rnacentral:misc_RNA from 1 species